rnacentral:tRNA from 1 species
GCCCCGGUGGUGUAGAUCCUCACACGAAUGUGUGACGUAACAGAAUCUGGCCUAGCAUUGAUGGCUGUCACCCAUCCGACUCGGGUUCAAAUCCCGACCGGGGCGCCA